UCUGUUUUAGUAUAGCAUGAUUAUACUAGCUUUUCGUGCUAGAGACAAUUAUUAAAAUUAAACAGGG
rnacentral:tRNA from 1 species